UGCUAGGUGGUUGGUAUGAAAAGGCGUUGGUUGCUCAGGUGUUGCUAGGUGGUUGGUAUGAAAAGGCGUUGGUUGCUCAGGUGUUGCUAGGUAGUUGGUAUGAAAAGGCGUUGGUUGCUCAGGUGUUGCUAGGUGGUUGGUAUGAAAAGGCGUUGGUUGCUCAGGUGUUGCUAGGUAGUUGGUAUGAAAAGGCGUUGGUUGCUCAGGUGUUGCUAGGUGGUUGGUAUGAAAAGGCGUUGGUUGCUCAGGUGUUGCUAGGUGGUUGGUAUGAAAAGGCAGGCUAACCACAAAGAGGCUAAUUGCUAACAAGAUAACCACUAACAGCUAACAAGCUAACCGCAAAAAGGCUAACUGCUAACAAACUAACGGCUAAAAGACUAACUGCUUACAACUAACCACUAACAUGUGAACCCAUAACAAGCUAACCGCUAAAAGAAUAACUACUAACAAGCUAACCGCCCUUACAAGCUAACGUGUGUGUUUAAAUGUGUUUAAAUAGUCAAUAUAUUUAAAAAGGCUGUAUUUCCUACAAAUGUAUCAAUUUUAGCUUAUAAACAUUUCUUUGAGCCCCACAGUGAGCAGCAUAUAGGCUAAAAAUUUAAACAUGAUAAAUUUGAACUUAAAUUAUAUAUUAACAUGCAACUUACAGUAGCUAAAUAUAUUAGUUUGAAGGGAUGUUCACAAACAUCUGGACACAGUGUAGUAAAUCACAUUUAAAGAGAAAAGUAAAAAACCUGGAAUAUAAAAUCAGCCCCAGGUGUGCAGUAAUAAUCAUUAUUAAUCUACAGGGAAGGGAUAUAUAUGGGUAUAAAUAUAUGUGGUGUUGAGUGAGGUGCUCUGAACUCUGCCCCUGCUGAGACAGGUGAACACCGGCCUCCACAGACACGGCACACACUGAGACCGGCUGUGUGAAUGAAUGAGAAGCUUCGGGUCAACACCAGUAUAAUGUGUGUUUUGUGUCGCAGCAUAACGUAGUAACAUUCGCUAUUUAGAAAAACGCUGUUUAUAUAUAUAUAUAUAUAUAUAUA